rnacentral:siRNA from 1 species
CAUGAGGAAUAUGUCGUGCCUCGA